AGACUAGUACUGUCUCCACUACACUUUUUUCCCCUUUAUAAUGCAAGGGUGAUUUUUUUAUAUAUAUAUCAACAGCCAAUGAAGUUAUUAUUUGCCCAAAUAAAUCUUUUAAAAGAAACAAAUACAUAGAAUGCCGAGAUGCGGAUUGAGCACACAUAGAAACGUUAAAUAAUAAUAAUAAUAAUAAUGAUAAUAUUAAUUAUUAUUAAUAAUAAUAUGUAUAUAGUGCCGAAAGCUUUAUUUAAGCAAAUGCAUCCUGAUUGACCUAAAUCUAUGCAAUAUACUAAUAAUGUAUCUUUUUUUAAGCUAAAAGAGAAAAUAUGAAGAAACAGAAGAAAACAUAUAAAGGUUGGUCAUCAGCGGGCAUAAGCAUACCCAGAGUCAAAUUAACAGGGUCCCAGGAAUGAUUAAAAUGUUGCAGCAAGUAAAUGCUUAUGUUAACGGGAUUGAAUGAAUGCUGGUGAUUAAACAGAACGGGCAAAUAUACCUGGCUGCAUAAAAACCUAAAUGAAGUCUCUGGUUGAAUUUUAUUGCCUAAGCCCUGUACAUAUUACAGGUGGUCUGCAAACUGGACUGAGGGUGAUUAUCGUACUAAGCAAGCUCUGAUAAUUCACCGAUAUCUUGAAAAGCAAGAGAUGCAGCCAAGAAAUACAAACUUUCUAAGAUUUGUAUGAAAGGUUAUUGACAUAUAACAAUAGCCUAUAUGUGUCAUACCAAAACGCAUAUUAAAGUAUGCCUUGGUUUCGCAAGUAUUUUACACGCAAUGAAGUUAUGCUCGUGUUUAUGUUUUGCUGAAAAACCUUAAAGCGAUCUGUGGUCUUUAAAAUCAAAACAGAUGCCUUAUAUGUCCAAGUGGUGGUUCCAUUUCCUCUUUAGCUGUUUUCCGGUAACAGGUUAGAAUAGAGACCACAAUAUCUUUCAAAAGCUGAUUUCGAGGAAUCAUUAGAAUAAAAAAUGUAAAUAUAACGUGCUGAUGAUUAAAACUGCAGGGCUAUUGGUGUAAAAGCAGAAUUGCUAAUUACUUGUGGGCUGAAUGACACUAACAACAUGAGAUGAAUUAUUCUGAAAUGUAUAUACAAACAUAACCUAUUUAAAGGACAUUUACUUUUAUACAGAGGGAAAGACCCUGGGGAUGGACAAAGGAUGUCCUGGACACUUUCCUACAGAGCCAAAUCAGACCCCGCACUCCACCCCCUCUUUGAUUUAAAAAAAAAGAAAGAAAAAAGAAAAAGACUUGAGCACAACAACUGUAUUGAAUGAUGAGCUCUUUCCUCCUUGCAUAGGUUAGGACUUCCCUUUUUGUGAAUUGGCAGGGUAUGUACGUUAAUAUUUUAAUUAAUCGGUGAAAAUCGAAGUCCGAUUUGUGUUAUCAGGAGACCCCCGAUCCCUCCUCCAAGGGGUGAGAAAAAAAGAUGUGUUAGAAAGCAAUCUAUUUUGCUGGUGUUGGGGGUUAAUGACUAUUGCCAAAGAUAAGUGAAUUAUCAAAGCUGUUGCUCUACCCGAUCUCAAAAUCCAUUACAUUGCUGGCCGUCUAAUUAAAUACUUGUCCACAUACUUGACUUGGAUUCAGAUUCUUACACAUCCAGAGCUUCAGGUAAAAGCCGAAUGAAAAUAGGUGUAUAAACCAAGCACUGGAGUUGAAGGGGUUAAAGAUGACCUCACCCAGCUGCACAUGAAGAUCAUGCUCCAGAUGGAGGUGGAACUUAAAAGGAAGCCAGAAAGUUCAGAAGGGGGCUAAAAAGACAGGGAGAAGAACCGGCUCUGGCAACUCCUGAGAAGGCACAGUGCGGCAGCUUCUCUGGGGAAAGAGGAGCCUACCUGCUGAGCCAACACAUACUAAAGACUCAUGUCUGAACAAUGAAAAACUAAAGCGAUUGGUAUGAGAAGGAGAAAAAAAGAAUUGAAAGAUCUGAGGAUGACUGCUGGGGUCUGUGCUGAGGACAAAUUCUCACUGAUAAGGUAUAUCAAUAUGCCGCUAUCACAAAAUCAGUUUGCCUUUAUGCUUAUUAUUGAAUAUAGUGCUUCAGAAGGAGCACUGAUGUUGAUUCAAAGCUGUAUGGGGAAAACUGAUUAUAGGUGGUAUUUAGAAAGCAACAGAGACAUCUAAUGAGGACUGUGCCACAUACAGACAAGAAACAGUUAUUGCUGUUUCUUUUACAGGUCAAAAGAGACCUGAGCAUUCUAUUCCUGUGUUUUCUCUGCCAAAGGCUUGAAUAACAUACUUUCCUGUUCUUAAACCACAAAAACCUCUACACAAAUGCCUGCAUAUUAUGUUUUAUUUUAAAUCCAUAAUGUCACGUUAAUUUUUCUUUUUCAACAUAUUAAGUGUUAAC